CCUACGGGGGGCUGCAGUGGGGAAUAUUGGACAAUGGGGGCAACCCUGAUCCAGCCAUGCCGAGUGUGUGAAGAAGGCCCUCGGGUUGUAAAGCACUUUCAGUGAGGAAGAACGCCUGGUGGUUAAUACCCAUCAGGAAAGACAUCACUCACAGAAGAAGCACCGGCUAACUCCGUGCCAGCAGCCGCGGUAAUACGGAGGGUGCGAGCGUUAAUCGGAAUUACUGGGCGUAAAGCGCGCGUAGGUGGCUUGAUAAGCCGGUUGUGAAAGCCCCGGGCUCAACCUGGGAACGGCAUCCGGAACUGUCAAGCUAGAGUGCAGGAGAGGAAGGUAGAAUUCCCGGUGUAGCGGUGAAAUGCGUAGAGAUCGGGAGGAAUACCAGUGGCGAAGGCGGCCUUCUGGACUGACACUGACACUGAGGUGCGAAAGCGUGGGUAGCAAACAGGAUUAGAUACCCGUGUAGUG
rnacentral:rRNA from 1 species